GAUGAACGCUGGCGGCGUGCCUAAUACAUGCGAGUCGAGCGAACAGAUGAGGAGCUUGCUCCUCUGACGUUAGCGGCGGACGGGUGAGUAACACGUGGAUAACCUACCUAUAAGACUGGGAUAACUUCGGGAAACCGGAGCUAAUACCGGAUAAUAUAUUGAACCGCAUGGUUCAAUAGUGAAAGACGGUUUUGCUGUCACUUAUAGAUGGAUCCGCGCCGCAUUAGCUAGUUGGUAAGGUAACGGCUUACCAAGGCAACGAUGCGUAGCCGACCUGAGAGGGUGAUCGGCCACACUGGAACUGAGACACGGUCCAGACUCCUACGGGAGGCAGCAGUAGGGAAUCUUCCGCAAUGGGCGAAAGCCUGACGGAGCAACGCCGCGUGAGUGAUGAAGGUCUUCGGAUCGUAAAACUCUGUUAUUAGGGAAGAACAAAUGUGUAAGUAACUAUGCACGUCUUGACGGUACCCAAUCAGAAAGCCACGGCUAACUACGUG
rnacentral:rRNA from 1 species